rnacentral:RNase_P_RNA from 1 species
AAUUCUGGGUAAUCGCGGUCGGCUUAUGUCGGCUGAGGAAGGUCCAUGCUCGCACAAGCUGCGAUGCUUGUAGUGUUCGUGCUCGGUGAAAAAAUAAGCCGGGGUACCGAUUUUAUCGGUAACGGCGGGAAAACCAGCUAAGGCGCAAGCUAUGCUCUAGUAUCCCUGAAAAGUGCCACAGUGACGAUACUUGGUUGGAAAUGACCAAGGUGGAACGAGGUAAACCCCGCGAGCGGGCAACCCAAACUACGGUAGGGGCGCUUCACAUAGGUAACUGAACUAAAUGUGGGGGGAGAUUCUAGUGAUCUCGAGAUAGAUGAUUACCGCCGUAUCAACAGACGCCUGUUCUUUGGUAUGGUACAAAACAUGGCCUACAGGA